UGGGUAACCUGCCCGGAAGUGGGGAAUACCUCGGGGAAACUCGAGCUAAUACCGCAUGACAUCUUUAGGACGAAAGUCCUGACGAUCAAAGCGGGGUCGCAAGAUCUCGCGCUACCGGAUGGGCCCGCGCCCGAUUAGCUAGUUGGUGAGGUAACGGCUUACCAAGGCUUCGACGGGUAGCCGGCCUGAGAGGGCGACCGGCCACC
rnacentral:rRNA from 1 species